rnacentral:rRNA from 1 species
GACGAACGCUGGCGGCGUGCCUAAUACAUGCAAGUAGAACGCUGAAGGAGGAGCUUGCUCUUCUGGAUGAGUUGCGAACGGGUGAGUAACGCGUAGGUAACCUGCCUGGUAGCGGGGGAUAACUAUUGGAAACGAUAGCUAAUACCGCAUAACAGUAGAUGUUGCAUGACAUUUACUUAAAAGGUGCAAUUGCAUCACUACCAGAUGGACCUGCGUUGUAUUAGCUAGUUGGUGGGGUAACGGCUCACCAAGGCGACGAUACAUAGCCGACCUGAGAGGGAGAUCGGCCACACUGGGACUGAGACACGGCCCAGACUCCUACGGGAGGCAGCAGUAGGGAAUCUUCGGCAAUGGACGGAAGUCUGACCGAGCAACGCCGCGUGAGUGAAGAAGGUUUUCGGAUCGUAAAGCUCUGUUGUAAGAGAAGAACGAGUGUGAGAGUGGAAAGUUCACACUGUGACGGUAUCUUACCAGAAAGGGACGGCUAACUACGUG